GGGUGCGUAACGCGUGGGAAUCUGCCCUUUGGUUCGGAAUAACAGCUGGAAACGGCUGCUAAUACCGGAUGAUGACGAAAGUCCAAAGAUUUAUCGCCAGAGGAUGAGCCCGCGUUGGAUUAGGUAGUUGGUGGGGUAAAGGCCUACCAAGCCGACGAUCCAUAGCUGGUCUGAGAGGAUGAUCAGCCACACUGGGACUGAGACACGGCCCAGACUCCUACGGGAGGCAGCAGUGGGGAAUAUUGGACAAUGGGCGAAAGCCUGAUCCAGCAAUGCCGCGUGAGUGAUGAAGGCCCUAGGGUUGUAAAGCUCUUUUACCCGGGAAGAUAAUGACUGUACCGGGAGAAUAAGCCCCGGCUAACUCCGUGCCAGCAGCCGCGGUAAUACGGAGGGGGCUAGCGUUGUUCGGAAUUACUGGGCGUAAAGCGCACGUAGGCGGCUUUGUAAGUCAGAGGUGAAAGCCUGGAGCUCAACUCCAGAACUGCCUUUGAGACUGCAUCGCUUGAAUCCAGGAGAGGUCAGUGGAAUUCCGAGUGUAGAGGUGAAAUUCGUAGAUAUUCGGAAGAACACCAGUGGCGAA
rnacentral:rRNA from 3 species